rnacentral:tmRNA from 1 species
GGGGGCGAAUGGCUUCGACCGGACAGGUAGACGGUCGGGUUGCAUGUCCAGGAUGUCGGUUGGCCUGGCUAAAAAUCCGGCAACUUAAUUUUACCUGGCAACUAUCAGUUGCAAAUGGCCGCCUAAAUUGAGCGGCCCGUCCCGACGGACUUUUUCCUGCGGGUCUGUCAGGGGCGCCAAACAGCGGGAUAGCCGAUGCGGGUGUUCGCGACGCAAAAGGCGAAUUUAAUCGCGAAAUAGCAAAGGUAUAAGCCUGUCGUUUGGCGUAUACCCGAGCGAAUUUCAAAUAAACGACUAAACAUGUAGACGCCCGCCCUGAAAUGUCACGGGACGGGGGUUCGAAUCCCCCCGCCUCCAUUU